rnacentral:rRNA from 1 species
UGGGGAAUUUUGGACAAUGGGCGCAAGCCUGAUCCAGCCAUGCCGCGUGCGGGAAGAAGGCCUUCGGGUUGUAAACCGCUUUUGUCAGGGAAGAAAUCUUCUGAGUUAAUACCUCGGGAGGAUGACGGUACCUGAAGAAUAAGCACCGGCUAACUACGUGCCAGCAGCCGCGGUAAUACGUAGGGUGCAAGCGUUAAUCGGAAUUACUGGGCGUAAAGCGUGCGCAGGCGGUUUUGUAAGACAGAGGUGAAAUCCCCGGGCUCAACCUGGGAACUGCCUUUGUGACUGCAAGGCUUGAGUGCGGCAGAGGGGGAUGGAAUUCCGCGUGUAGCAGUGAAAUGCGUAGAUAUGCGGAGGAACACCGAUGGCGAAGGCAAUCCCCUGGGCCUGCACUGACGCUCAUGCACGAAAAGCGUGGGGAGCAAACAGGAUUAGAUACCCUGGUAGUCCACGCCCUAAAACGAUGUCAACUGGUUGUUGGGAAGGUUCCUUCUCAGUAACGUAGCUAACGCGUGAAGUUGACCGCCUGGGGAGUACGGCCGCAAGGUUG